GAGUUUCUGAUGCUGGGGCUGAAGUCUGCUCUGGCAUCUCAUCAGAAUAACUGAUGAGAUGCCAGAGCAGACUUCAGCCCCUGCAUCUG
rnacentral:pre_miRNA from 1 species